UGAAAAAAAGAAAAAAAAAAAAACUCGUCAUCGAGUUGAAAUAACUUGCAACGAUCCAACGAUAUGGCCAAAACAACUCCAGCACCAUUCUCUUCCACUCGGAAUAAUUCGUUCUUCGAAUUUUAAAGUGGAAAAGAAUGAAGAACUAACUUAUUUGAAAAAGUACACCAUGUAGCCUUCUUUGAUGAGGUAAAAAAUGAAGAUUCAAACAAGAUUGAAUUGAUCAACUUCACCCUCUCUUUUGUCUCUAUAAGAACACCUGGACAAAUAAAAUCAAAGGAAACAAUAGAAAUUAAGGAGUUAGGAAAGUCUUCGAUCUUCAAUGCUUGAUUAGGAAAGUCUUCAAUCUUCAAUGCUUGAUUUCCUCCAAUCCCCAAUAUUGGCUCCAUGUGUUGCCUUUCCUCAACUUCCAUUGAAGUUUCCAAGGCUUGAUAUUCCAUAUUUGCAAAAACAUAUUGUUGAAGCUUUUCUUACUUAUCUUCAUCGGUCUUAGUUUCUAGAAUAGUUAGCCCAAUGAUUUUCAAUUGAAGCUCAUUAUCUUCAACCAUAGCAAAAGUAAAUUCCAUUAAAGUUUCAUAUUCCAAUUCUUCAAAUUUAGGCUCAUCCACUUCAAGUUGCAUUGCUAAAUCUUGAAGCUCUUUUUGUUCUUCACUUUCUUACUUCACAAGCAAGAAAGGUUUUGGUUGGACCUUCUCUUAGCAAAGUUUUUGUUGGAA
rnacentral:misc_RNA from 1 species